rnacentral:lncRNA from 1 species
GUUGUGGUGAGCCACUACCUGUCUGAGAAACUUCUGCCUUCCUUCACUUUCUGCGGGAUUGCUUCGGUCGGCUUCAGUCUUCCCUCGGGUACCCGUCAGUCUGCGGUGUCUCCCUUCAGAAGAAGCUAUUAAAGUAUUACAGACACUUUGAAAAGAGCAGUUCAAAAAUCUGUCCUGUCUCUGCUCCUUGGCGUUCGUGGCAAUCGGCUGCACAAACUCUCAUAGUCUGGUGAGAGUUUUCCCUGCUUCAGCAGAAGGUAUGGCCCAGAUGUGUGUACCACCAUGCCUGGAUUUGGAGCUCACAGUCCCAAGCUGGCCUUGAAAUCAGAUCUCCUUGCCUCAGUCUCCUGGGAUUAAAGCAACUCCUGUCUGGGCCUAAGCUUUGCAUGGUCACUGUGCCUCAAGAUCUGAAUCAAAAGUGUGUGUCAUCUCCUGUCAGAGCUUGUGCCAUCCACUC